AAGUGGUGUUUAGCAGGGGUAUCACUCACAGGGGGGCUUCCCCUUCUCAAAAAGAGAAAGUAGAAUGGGGGAGGUCUUGCAUGAGGGGGUCCUUGGAGAAGGGGGCUGAUAGUGGGCUGUAAAGUGAAUAAAUGAAAAUAAAAAAUUAUUAAGAUGUACAUUGCAUAUACCAAGUGAUACUGCCUAUUCAUAAAAAAAAAGAGCAAAAUCAUAACUGUGGAUAAACCUGGGAAUAAAUCAAGCAAAGUGAGGCACAGAAGAGCAAAUCCUACCUGAAUCUUAAAGAACAGCGAUUAGCAGAGGGUGGAGGAUAGUGGGAGAGAUGGGUUGGGACGUUGUGAGUCACCUGGUCAUAGUGUUAGGAGGAAUUAAAAAAAUUAUCUCCAGAAGGGUGGGGAUUUGGUCAAAGGUUACACAGCCGUAAUUAGAUAGUAGGGAUGGUUUCUGGUACUUCCACAGCAGGAGAGCACACAGGCACAGUCCAGAUGACAAGGAUGGAGCUGGGGUGGUGGGCUGUAAGUAACUACUAAUGAUCUCUUUAACAUGGUAAUACUGUUCUGGCAUGGCCAGGACUGCCUCUUGAUGUUAUCUCAGGAGAAACAUCGCUUAAACAAUGUGGAUAAUGGAUGAUCUGAGAUAACUUGAUGCCAACAGAGAGCUGCCUGGCAUUUUGACACAAUGUGCUGGAAGAAACUGUUCUGUUAACAUUUGGUCAAACAGGACUUAAAGGGGUGAUUGUAAGACACGUGAAUCAGAGUUCCUGUGCUGCUAUUAAAAAAAAAAAGCCAGCUGGAUGCUGUUAGUGCUAGAGAAGGGACUUAGAAACCCAAGGCCUGCGACCAACCCCAGCACUCACGCCCCCACACACACUGACAACACAGGUCAGGACACUAACAACUUGAGACAGUUACAACAGCAUCACAACUCCUACAGUAACAACUGAGAGGCUCUGACGUUUAGAGAAAACAAAUAAAGAGAUAUAUUCACAAAAGCCUUUGUGGCCAUUUAGAACCGAUACACAAAUACUUUACUAACAAGCCUCCCUUUCACACUAAAAACGUCGGGGGAACAUCUUUAAAACAAACAGAUCUUGGCAGAAACUUGAGAAAUAUCUAAAACAACCAGCCCAGGAAAGCAUUCUGAUUCAAAAUUAACCAAAAAUUAGCCAAACACUUUCUCCUCCUACCAUGGUAUAUCAGACAUCAAACAGCAAUGCCUGAACUAUCUACUGUUGGGACUGCUAAAUGUCUAGCCUAAAAUAACCAAAGGAAAAGGGGCAUACUGAAAGCCUCCUCACUCACAAAUUAGUGCAAAUUUUAAAAGCCUAUGAGAGCCCCGCUUUGCUGUAAGGCUUUUUUUUAAAGAUUAUAAUUUAAUGACAACAGCUCCCCCUUCUCUGUCCUCCAAACUCUCCCAUACUCUCCUCCUCUCCUCAGUCUCUGCUUUGAUGUUUUUCUGUAUCAGUUAAAAAAGCCUAAUUCCAGGAGCCAAGCAUGUCCUCACAGCCGUGUUACCCAGGGCUGCAGAAGGCAAGAGCAAAAGGAUUGAGAGUUCAAAGACAGCCUAGGCUACAUUAGUGACGUUUUGUGUAAGACAAAAAAGAGUAACUUAAUUAUUUUUAAUUAUAAAACUACAAUCCAGGAUAACUUCCAAAAGAGUGGUAGGGCAUAACAUCUCCUUCUUUAAAAAAAUUGUGUGUGUGUGUGUGUGUGUGUGUGUGUGUGUGUGUUUAAUGUAUACUUUUUUUUUUUUUCAGGAAGGGUGUCAUGUAGCCCAGGCUAACCUCAACCUCCUAUUGCUACUGCUCCUGCCUUUUAAGAUCUGGGAUUUCAGGCAAGUGCUACCAGGCCUGGCUCUGAAAUUUGAAAGCGUCCUAGGGACACAUAAAAAAAUCUGAAAAUUGAUCUGGGGUAAACACUUUUAUUCCAUCUCUCAGCCUGCUUGCCCAUCCUGUGCAUCUGCAGCAAUGCCAGGACCACUGAACCUCUUAACUAAACAGGAAGAGCUGCUAAUAAUGAUUUUCAUAAGACCUACAAACACUCAAUGUGCCCCGCAUUCUAGCACAUUGGUGACGUUCACACCAAUCUGCUGCUUGCCAGACUCAUCUUUUUAGUUUUCAAAUUCCACGUCAAGUAACAAUAAAGCCCCCUAAAAUUUUUAAGUAAAAUUGAGAGGCCUGAGCCACUUAAAUAACCCCAAAUCCUAAACUAACACUUAGUAAGAUUAACAGUGGAGGAAGAGGGUGUGGCUUGGGGUUGGUUCCAUUUACAACCUAUUGACUGAAGUAUCUUAGCAACACUUUCCCUAAACACUCCCAGAAGGCAAGAGUGGGUCAGAGUCCCGCUUACUCAAUAUGCAUUAAGGGGCCAGCCCUUGGUCUCUGAGGAUGUAACAGAAGCCAUCUGAGGGACAGCAAAGAUGUCUGCUUUAGCAGGAAACAUUUUCACGAGAGAUAGCAGCCUUUUCUCCCACUCGCUUCCUUUUAGAACUAGCAUCCUCUGACAUUACAGCCAUGCUAGGCAGCAGCAGUCAGGGAGGAAAUGAAUCACAGAAAUUAGUCAGGAUUUCCUAUUUAGUUACUUAAUAAUCCAAACCCGGAGGCAGGAGGUAACCCUGAGCAAGCAGAGCGAUCUGCCAAAGCCAGGCUUUUUCUAGCACUUAAACAAGCUAAAGGCAAAAGGGAAACGCGCAUAUCCAAACCCAACGUCCACGUGUGCACUUGGGUCUGAAAGCACAUGUAGGCACACACAAGAGGAUGUGUCUUCCUGCCCACCACAAAGGCUGAUGGCUGACAUUCUUGGAAGACAGGCUAACAGGAGAGAGGCAGAACAUGUAUAUUUCAUCAUAAUUUUACAGAAUUGAAGACCCAAAGACCAAACGAGAACCACACAUUUUUUUUUUAGGCUUAGGUUUGCUGACUCACAGACAGCCAUGUUGAGUUAUGAGUAGACCAAAAGGUAUGACGGAAGGCUAAAGACCACAGCCUGCCCAGAUGUUUCUUUUCCUCCCUGUGUAGUACUUUGCCCUCCCAAGGCUGGGACAAGACCGCUGUGAGCUGGUCUACAUGGCCUUAUCUUUAUGGCUAGCAGAAGGACAGAUCAGCAGGGGAAGAUUAAGCUCCUCCCCGUUCCCACUCUGGGAUCGGAACCCAGGGCCUCGUGGCCUGUAGGCAAGCCCUCCCUGGACUCCAUCUCCAACGCUGUGCUGUACCGUGACUGAGGUACUGGAAGCAGGGACCUAUUCCAAUGAUGAAGUGUGCCUUCCUCUAAGUACACACAAUGAGGGCCAGUGAAAGAGAAAAGCUCAAGACAGGUGAGUGACGUCAGUGUUCUGGCUGUGACAUAAAUACUACGAUUCGGCAAGUGCUGCCACUGGAGAAGAUGGGUGAAGUGUCCACGAGACCACUCUACAGCGUUUCCCACUGUUCCAUACAUCUACAGUCUUCUCAAAGUCUAACUUAGAAAGCAAAAAACGAUGAAGCUAGGCAUGGUGGCAAAUGCCUUUGAUGCCAGUACUCAGAAGUGGAAGCAAGCAGAUCUCUGUGAGUUUGUGGCCAGCCUGGUCUAAACAGAGUUCCAGGAGUGUCAAGGUUGCAUAUAUACCCUAUCCCCAAAACAAACAGAACAAACUUAUUAAAAACAGUGAAUAGAAGAAGGGAAAGCUUACUCUCUCACCCACUGCUACCAUUUCCCACUGCCUGCUGUUACCAUGGUUACUAAAACCGCAACCUCCCCUCAUUAGACAUUCAUCCUUUUAUUAAAAUUCCUCACAGGUUUGUUUAGUUGUAAGUUUAGUUAGGUAUGAGAAUGCAAGUCUUGUUUAUAAAAAAAUUAUUAAAAUCUUGGUUUACUAUUAAACACAUUAACUUAAAAUUCUCAAAUUUCUCAGAAAUAACUUGGUAAAUAGUAUAAUACCUAAAACAACAAAACACAACACUGUCUAGUAGAGAUAAGUGAGCCAUAUGCCUAGUGUAAUAGUCAUAUUGAUAAAAAUAGAGGAGGAGCUGGGGUGUGGCACAGUGGUAUAGUACUUGCCUUGCAUGUACAAGGCCCCAAGUUCAAUCCCCAGCAUCAAAA